rnacentral:rRNA from 1 species
UACGUAGGGGGCAAGCGUUGUCCGGAAUCAUUGGGCGUAAAGAGCGCGUAGGCGGCCCUGUAAGUCCGCUGUGAAAGUCAAGGGCUCAACCCUUGAAUGCCGGUGGAUACUGCAGGGCUAGAGUCCGGAAGAGGCGAGUGGAAUUCCUGGUGUAGCGGUGAAAUGCGCAGAUAUCAGGAGGAACACCAAUAGCGAAGGCAGCUCGCUGGGACGUUACUGACGCUGAGGCGCGAAAGCGUGGGGAGCGAACAGG